rnacentral:rRNA from 1 species
GAAUAUUGCGCAAUGGGGGAAACCCUGACGCAGCAACGCCGCGUGGACGAUGAAGGCCUUCGGGUUGUAAAGUCCUUUUCUGAGGGAAGAUAAUGACGGUACCUCAGGAAUAAGUCCCGGCUAACUACGUGCCAGCAGCCGCGGUAAAACGUAGGGGGCGAGCGUUAUCCGGAUUUACUGGGCGUAAAGCGCACGUAGGCGGCGCUGUAAGUUGGGCGUGAAAGCUCUCGGCUUAACUGGGAGAGGUCGUUCAAUACUGCAGUGCUUGAGGUUGGAAGAGGAGAGUGGAAUUCCCGGUGUAGUGGUGGAAUGCGUAGAUAUCGGGAGGAACACCAGUGGCGAAAGCGACUCUCUGGUCCACACCUGACGCUGAGGUGCGAAAGCGUGGGGAGCGAACGGG